CCUUGGAAAAGCAAGCAGGAAUUUACUUGGAAAAACCAGCACUGUUCCUAAUAUUUAGAAUAGUGUCUGAACCAUAUAUACUUGCCCAGGAUCCUUUAAAAGACUUGUCAGGUGAAGCGGGAGUUGGAAGUCAGAUUCUCUGGGUGGUGUCUGCAGCCAAAAUGGGCAGGGAGGGAACUAUCCUGAGAUGGCCACCACACCUACUGUUUGCUUCCUGUCAGUCCUGACCUCGCCUGGAGGUCAGGGUGUCCAAGAGGCCAGUCAAGAGUGGCCUUAUCCCCACUCUGUCCUUAUGGAUGAUCUGUUUUAAAACAGUCACACAUCUCUACAAAGAGGAUGAGAACUCACAAUCCAGUUUGAAGCUUUUAUUCUAAGAGCUGAUGAGCUGCUUAAGUUUUCCACUACCCAGCCCCUAUCCAUUUCCCGCCCUUUUCUGACCUGCUCUGACACUGUAUAACCUGGCUCUUACAGAGCCUAGAGCUAGUUUUAUGCUUCAGUCACGACAGAGUUCUGGUUUGUGGUCAUGAAAUUUUACUACGAAAGAGAUUAUCUAAGCUUUUGCCACCCAGCGGCCUCGGCAUCACCAGGAACUUGUUGGGAAGCUCAGGCUGCACCCAAACCUCCUGAAUUACAGUCUGCAUUCAAUGAGAUUCCAGGCAAUUGCCCUUCUGGACAAGCACUCUUGUAACCCAGAGACUGGGCUUCCCAGGAGGCUCAGUGAUCAAGAAUCCUCCUCCCAACGCAGGAGACCUGGGUUCGAUCCCUGGGUCAGGAAGAUUCCCCUGGAGAAGGAAACGGCAAUCCACUCCAGUAUUCUUACCUGGGGAACCCCAUGGGCAGAGGAGCCUGGCGGGCUACAGUUCCUGGGGCCGCAAAAAGUCGGACACAAUUGAGCGACCAAACAACCACCCACAGGAUCCCUGGAUACUACUGCAAGGCUGAGCCUAGCUGCCAAAGCCUUGAACACAGGGGCUCUCUAAGCCGUGGCUCUCGCGUCUCCCCACGGGGCCUUUUCUGUUUGCCCACGGCCUGGGGCGACCCUGGCAGGCGCAGGCGCACCGGGCUCUUUGCCGGCCUUGGCGAGGCCCUGCGCAUGCCCAGUGACGCCGCCACGGCCUUCGGGAAAGAUCCCAGGUUCAUCCCCUGGUGUCUGGUGUGCCGCAGGGACUUCGCCCAGAGCUUCCAGGAAGCUCCUGGUGGGCCCAGACGGUGGGCCCUUGGGCAGCUCAACUCUAAAAGAAUCUGGUCGUCAUUUACCCCACAGUAAACAGACAGGAAGAUCCUUUUUCAUUCAGGCAAUAACAAGGUUUGAUAAGGGUGUCUUAAGACUGCUUUACAGGAAGAAAUUCUGAACUAGCAAUGGAAAAGGAGACAAGGCUGGAGGGAGGAACUGAGAAUGAGUUAGGAGAUAAAUUAGCCAGAAUUUAGUAACUGGUGACAUGGUGCUGGGGUGGGGGUGGGAUUGAAGGAGAGUGUGGGGAUGAGAUGGUCUCUCAAUUUUUAGCCUGUGUGGCUAGGGUUGGUGGUACCAAUACCAGAAAGAGGACAGAGGAGAUAGUCAGAAAAGGAACACAUUUAGGGAAGAGGAGGAGGAGUUUAGCAUUGCCCAGGCUGAGCCAGGCAUCUUAUGGGCAUUUAGUUAUAUGAGUCUGAAGUUUAGGAAAUGAAUUGCAAAAUGAACCAACUAGGAAACAUAUGAUUGGCCUGGAGCUACAGUGCGGGAGUAAGUGAUUGUUCCUUUAAAUUUGUUAAUAAACUACAGGACAAAGCCCUCCUGAAACCUGUAAGUUUAAGCACAUGCGUGCUCCAUCACUUCAGCCGUGUCCGACUCUCUGCAACGCCGUGGACCGUAGCCCACCAGGCUCCUCUGUCCAUGGGAUUCUCCAGGCAUGAAUGCGGGAGUGGGUUCCCCUCCCCUCCCCAAAAGGAUCUUCCUGCCCCAGGGACCCACCCCGCCUCUCUUAUGUCUCCUGUGUUGGCAGGCAGCUUCUUUACCACUAGCGCCACGUGGGAAGCCCAGGUUUGAGUGGGGUCAGGUCAGCUCUGCACUGUUGCUCCUCUAGGGAGCAGGUCCGGGCACUCCUUCUCAUCCUCUCUUCACACUUCCUCCCAGCCCCCAGCACGCUUCUCUCUCCACACCAGGUCGGGAAUAGGAUGUGACUGCCUUGGUCUCCAUUCUCUGUAGUUCCUGGACGUGGCACGCAAGCCUUCCGUUUGGGGCUUUUCAUUAUGAUCCCUAUAGGAAAUAAGAGGAGGAGGAAAAUGAGAGCAAGAACAAAAAUGGUCUCCUGUGUAGUAUUUCUACUCUGAGUCAAUAGAUUUUCUGAACCAUUUAAUUUGGCAUUUUUCCUGGACACCCCAAAAAUGUGCCUUGGGAAUUAAAUGAGAAAGGAAACAUGUUGGCUGCCUCGAUUGAGGGUGAAAAGCAAGGGA
rnacentral:lncRNA from 1 species